AAUGAUAUAGCAUCCCGAAGUCAUGCAGUCACGUGCUUGCACGUGUGACUGCAUGACCUCGGGAUGCGAACAAUACAUGAGGAAAAAAGACAUGCGAACAAAGUGAGCAUGGCGAUUUCCGAAUGUAUUGUAGGAUUGCGAAAGCACGAAGUGCGGAGCAAUCCGUAUAUCAUU
rnacentral:sRNA from 1 species